rnacentral:lncRNA from 1 species
AUGUGUUCCAAAACUGCCACCUCCCUGUCUGCCUCCAGGUUGGCUCACUGUGACCUAGGGACCCACCACAGCCUUCUUGUCCGACAGCUGAUGGAGACAUGCCGCCGGCUGCAGCAGCUCAGGUCAGCUCCUGGAAACGCCGUCCCAGGCCCUAGGCUCUCUGUUGAUCCCAGUGCACAGUCCAGGCCACAUAUGCCCGGGUAUUCUCUCUCCCUGCACAAGAAAGCUUACAUCAGUCUUUGCGCAGGGUGGUGUAGGGGAGCUCCUGGGAGGCCCUCCCUCCACACCUCCCUGCGUGUAUGUGUAAGCCCCAUGGUGUCCAGCCUCCCAUCCUCUGGAAUAUUCUUCGGCCUUUUCAGCCUGUCCCAGGUAAACCUCUGCGAUGCCAGCGAUGCCACCUUCCUGCUGCUGCAGAGCCUCCUGCUGUCCCUCUGUGACCUGAAGACCUUCCGGCUGACCUCCAGCUGUGUGAGCACCCAGGGCCUCACUCACCUGGCGUCUGGACUGGGCCACUGCCACCACCUGGAGGAGCUGGACUUCUCCAACAAUCAAUUUGGUGAGCAGGCCGAAGAGAUACUGAUGGGGGCCCUUGAGGGGAAGUAUAGGCUGAAGACACUCCAGUAAGUGGUGGCUAUGGGGUAAUGGGGGGGGUGUUAAGAGAUAAAGUGGUGGUGGUGGUUAAUGGGGAGGGGCAUGAAACGUAUGCCCAGGAGCUUUGCAUGUCUUGAACACAAACUGUCAAGUACCUGGAUGAACCUAGGUGAACUGAAUGCCCCCCCAGACCUUUUACUUCCUCACCUGGCUCUGAGGGUCAUCAGGAUGCUUGGUGACAAAAAACAGAAUACCCAAUUGAAAUCAACCCAAGCCAAGAGUUUAUCGGCUUAUGUCAUGGAAAAACACGAUCAGUUGGAGGUUGUCCCAUAGUCACAGGUUUAGUGGAAGGAGAGCACCUGCCUCCCUGUAGUUACAACAGAUUGAGUCCCAUUGGACUA